rnacentral:rRNA from 1 species
GCCUCCCUCCGCCGCCACUCACGACUCCGUACGGGACGGCGACGCGAGUAGGGAAGUAGUUAGGACGAAGUACGGGGAAACCGUACGGACUCCAGCGACGCCGCGUUGUGAGAGCNGCGGUGUAAGCACUUUAGUGGGUAGUGAAAGUUCAGGCUAAUACCUUGGAUGUUGACCUAACCACAACGAAAAGACAACCGGCUAACUCUGUGCCAGCAGCCGCGGUAAUAC